AGCUGACCUAGCUCAGCUACAUCCCAACUACCCUGAAGAUGUGACCAUGCUAUGUUUGCAUGUCUCCACUCUUCUUGAAGUUGUCCUUGACCAAUUACUUGGUUUGGACAAUAAAAUGAUACAGCAAGGCCCCAAUCUGCAAGCCAGGAAGAGUCGUCACGAGAACCAGACCAUGCAGGAACUCUGAUCGUGGACAUUUCAACCUCCAGAACUGUGAUCCAAAAUGCAUAUGUAUCUUUGGAAGAAACUCUGAAGUAAAGGCCGGAAUAUUCUUUGUUUAAAACAUUAAAAACAAAACAGACCAAAGCAUCAAGCAAGAAGUUUCCUGGCAAUAAACUAAGCACAGCAUUAUUUUUUAAGGAACACAAAUUAAGUGUUCAACCUGUGGCAAAUUUGUACUUUCUCCCUGAAUUAUGUUGUUAUCAAAGAAAAAAAUUGGGAAGCAUGGCAAAAUAUCAUCAAAACUGAAACUAGAAUUAAACAAAACUAAAUUAAAAUGAAAUAAAAUGAUGUCCAUUCUUAAUUCAUCCUCACAACUGGGCCACUAGUUUUAUGCAUCUUGGCAGCCAAUAUUUUUGUCUCUAGGGCAUAAAUUAUGCAUCAGGUACCUCUGAAACUCAGAGACCAAGGAAAAAGGAGCCAACCUGUCUCAAUGAUCCAUAAUGUUGCUACCCUGGUGCCAGAUGGAUAUGAUAGAAGGCUCCUAAAAGGCUCUUGGUUUGAGGAAAGUGUUGCUUACAUACAACAGGAAUCUUGUGGGAUUUAAGAAGUGGGGAGAUGUAAGUUUGAG
rnacentral:lncRNA from 1 species